GUCUGCUGCUCGAGGCUAUGAUUCUUGUUCUGUAGCUGGAUUUCUCGAGUUCGGCCUCUCGAUCGCUUUUUGGUUCGUCCCGGUGGAAGGUAACCCCACGCCAGGUUAAGCAAGCAACAGUGGGCGCAGAGGUGGAUUAUGUGCUUGCAGUAGGAAAGUGAAAAGUAGAUCAAGAAUGGCUUUUGAGCCGUUUGUUUGGUAUUGUCGACCAGUUGCUGGUGGUGUGUGGACGAAGGCAGUGGAGAAUGCUCUUGGCGCUUACACACCAUGUGCCAUUGACUCUGUGGUUAUUGUUAUUUCUCACCUGGUCGUUCUAGGUCUAUGCAUCUAUAGAACAUGGUUGAUCAAGAACAAUUUUAAAGCACAGAGGUUUUGCUUGAAGUCGAAGAUAUACAACUACAUGCUGUGUUUACUGGCUGCUUACUGUGUAUUUGAGCCUUUAUUCAGAUUGAUCAGGGGAAUUUCAGUCUUGAAUUUAGAUGGGCAGGAUGCACUUGCUCCAUUUGAGGUGGUUGCCCUGAUAAU
rnacentral:misc_RNA from 1 species